CGGAGGGUGCAAGCGUUAUCCGGAUUCACUGGGUUUAAAGGGUGCGUAGGCGGGCAGGGAAGUCAGUGGUGAAAUCCUCAAGCUUAACUUGAGAACUGCCGUUGAUACUCUCUGUCUUGAAUAUCGUGGAGGUGAGCGGAAUAUGUCAUGUAGCGGUGAAAUGCUUAGAUAUGACAUAGAACACCAAUUGCGAAGGCAGCUCGCUACACGAAUAUUGACGCUGAGGCACGAAAGCGUGGGGAUCAAACAGGAUUAGAUACCCUGGUAGUCCACGCCCUAAACGAUGGAUACUCGACAUACGCGAUACACAGUGUGUGUCUGAGCGAAAGCAUUAAGUAUCCCACCUGGGAAGUACGACCGCAAGGUUG
rnacentral:rRNA from 1 species